rnacentral:sRNA from 1 species
UGCUUCCUAGCUCCACUCUCCCUCCGGU